rnacentral:tRNA from 1 species
AGGGUUAUAGUUUAAACAAAACAUUUGAUUUGCAUUCAAAAAAUAUUAUAAAUUAAUUUACCUUA